rnacentral:rRNA from 1 species
CCUACGGGAGGCAGCAGUGGGGAAUAUUGCACAAUGGGGGAACCCCUGAUGCAGCGACGCCGCGUGAGUGAAGACGUAUCUCGGUACGUAAAGCUCUAUCAGCAGGGAAGAAAAUGACGGUACCUGACUCAGAAGCCCCGGCUAAAUACGUGCCAGCAGCCGCGGUAAUGCGUAGGGGGCAAGCGGUAUCCGGAUUUACUGGGUGUAAAGGGAGCGUAGACGGCAGCACAGGUAUGGAGUGAAAUACCGGGGCUUAACCCCUGAACCGCUUUGGACACGGGGCGGCGGGAGUGCAGGAGGGGUAAGCGGAAUUCGUGGUGUAGCGGUGAAAUGCGUAGAUAUUAGGAGGAACACCGGUGGCGAAGGCGGCUUACUGGACUGUAACUGACGUUGAGGCACGAAAGCGUGGGGAGCAAACAGGAGUAGAUACCCUGGUAGUC